UGGAGAGCGUCUGUUGAACAUCAACGCUAGGCACUGCUAAUUCUGAUGAGGAGGUACACUACUUUAUACCUGCCUGGUACACUUGUGUGUAAACGGCGGCAGUAUUCUGACGGUCCAAAGGUGGGAUUUUCCGACAAAAUCCUUGUCGGGUAAUUAUCGUCGUGCGUGAACGUUGGCCCGACUCUUCA
rnacentral:ncRNA from 1 species